UGGCCUGAAAUCAGGUAGGACUACCC
rnacentral:rRNA from 1 species